rnacentral:rRNA from 1 species
GACGAACGCUGGCGGCGUGCUUAACACAUGCAAGUCGAGCGGAAAGGCCCUUCGGGGUACUCGAGCGGCGAACGGGUGAGUAACACGUGAGUAACCUGCCCCAGACUUUGGGAUAACCCUCGGAAACGGGGGCUAAUACCGGAUACGACACAGCUUCGCAUGGGGUCUGUGUGGAAAGUUUUUCGGUUUGGGAUGGGCUCGCGGCCUAUCAGCUUGUUGGUGGGGUGAUGGCCUACCAAGGCGACGACGGGUAGCCGGCCUGAGAGGGCGACCGGCCACACUGGGACUGAGACACGGCCCAGACUCCUACGGGAGGCAGCAGUGGGGAAUAUUGCACAAUGGGCGGAAGCCUGAUGCAGCGACGCCGCGUGAGGGAUGACGGCCUUCGGGUUGUAAACCUCUUUCAGCGGGGACGAAGCGUAAGUGACGGUACCUGCAGAAGAAGCGCCGGCCAACUACGUG